GUACGGGCUAGGGGGGGUGUUGACGUACUCUAUUUUUCACAAAUCGUCGAUAAUGGUGACCUGAAGUCCGAGGGCGGCGUAAACGAAGCAAUUGGAUCCUGCUGGUUGACUACGACGCCUCGCCCCCAAGAGAUGCAGGUUGUUGGAAGGGUCACCCGGAGGGGUCAUCUAACCAUCCUAUGCCCGGGAACCAGGUCAGGCGCGGAAGCGAGCAGCCCGACCGGGGAUGCUGGAUGCCUUGGGGAAGCGGGGUUGAGAAGAUCGGCAUUUCAUUCCGAUUGAAAACGAACGUCCACCGAGGACAUGCCCAUCA
rnacentral:SRP_RNA from 1 species